CCUUUACAGACGUACCCUAGAAAUUCCUUAUAAAAAAUAUUUCCCAAAAAAUUUCCCACUAAAAUUACACUUAAUAUUCCGCCAAUUCUCAUAAGUCCAAGAUAACCCUAUAGGAAUAAGGAGCAAAAUAGUUUUCACGCCACGGCUGCUCCAAUGCCCUCAAUCACUGCUUCUAUUUCUUCGUUGCUUCAUCCUUGGUUGCUGUUCUUCUAUUUCUUUUAGAAUUAUUUGCAAUGAAUCAGAAGACGAGCUUGAAACAGAGGAUGAGUUUGAAUAAGAGGAGGACGAGUUUGAUUCUGAGGAUACAUUAUGAGUUUGAUUAUAAUUUAAAUAGAAUAUAGCUCAGCCCUUUCUUGAUUAAUGAUUAAAGGCACAUUAAAUAUUAGUAGAUACUUGCUUUAGACUCGAAUGAUAUUUGUUUGUCGAUGUUUCCUUGUCUAUUUUGUCAUGUUCUAAUAUUAAUUUUUUUUCCUGAUGGUUUCUUUCUUAUGCUUAUAUAUUUCCUGCUCAUAUAAUUUUAGAGUCUCA